rnacentral:rRNA from 1 species
CCUACGGGAGGCAGCAGUGGGGAAUAUUGCACAAUGGGCGAAAGCCUGAUGCAGCGACGCCGCGUGGGGGAUGACGGCCUUCGGGUUGUAAACCCCUUUCAGUAGGGAAGAAGCGAAAGUGACGGUACCUGCAGAAGAAGCGCCGGCUAACUACGUGCCAGCAGCCGCGGUAAUACGUAGGGCGCAAGCGUUGUCCGGAAUUAUUGGGCGUAAAGAGCUCGUAGGUGGCUUGUCGCGUCUGCCGUGAAAACCCGAGGCUCAACCUCGGGCGUGCGGUGGGUACGGGCAGGCUAGAGUGUGGUAGGGGAGACUGGAACUCCUGGUGUAGCGGUGAAAUGCGCAGAUAUCAGGAAGAACACCGAUGGCGAAGGCAGGUCUCUGGGCCAUUACUGACACUGAGGAGCGAAAGCAUGGGUAGCGAACAGGAUUAGAUACCCUGGUAGUCCAUGCCGUAAACGUUGGGCACUAGAUGUGGGGGACAUUCCACGUUUUCCGCGUCGUAGCUAACGCAUUAAGUGCCCCGCCUGGGGAGUACGGCCGCAAGGCUAAAACUCAAAGGAAUUGACGGGGGCCCGCACAAGCGGCGGAGCAUGCUGAUUAAUUCGAUGCAACGCGAAGAACCUUACCAAGGCUUGACAUGCACCGGACGGCUGCAGAGAUGUGGCUUUCUUCGGACUGGUGCACAGGUGGUGCAUGGUUGUCGUCAGCUCGUGUCGUGAGAUGUUGGGUUAAGUCCCGCAACGAGCGCAACCCUUGUUCUAUGUUGCCAGCACGUGAUGGUGGGGACUCAUAGGAGACUGCCGGGGUCAACUCGGAGGAAGGUGGGGACGACGUCAAAUCAUCAUGCCCCUUAUGUCUUGGGCUUCAAGCAUGCUACAAUGGUCGGUACAAUGGGUUGCGAAACUGUGAGGUGGAGCGAAUCCCAAAAAGCCGGCCUCAGUUCGGAUUGGGGUCUGCAACUCGACCCCAUGAAGUCGGAGUCGCUAGUAAUCGCAGAUCAGCAACGCUGCGGUGAAUACGUUCCCGGGCCUUGUACACACCGCCCGUCAAGUCACGAAAGUCGGUAACACCCGAAGCCAGUGGCCCAU